UACAGAGGGUGCGAGCGUUAUUCGGAUUCAUUGGGCGUAAAGCGCAUGUAGGCGGUUCGAUAAGUCUGAUGUGAAAUCCCAGAGCUCAAAUCUGGAAGUGCAUUGGAUACUGUCGGACUAGAGUGCAGGAGAGGAGAGCGGAAUUCCUGGUGUAGAGGUGAAAUUCGUAGAUAUCAGGAGGAACAACAGUGGCGAAGGCGGCUCUCUGGACUGUUACUGACGCUGAGGUGAGAAAGCGUGGGGAGCAAACAGG
rnacentral:rRNA from 1 species